rnacentral:rRNA from 1 species
GACGAACGCUGGCGGCGUGCUUAACACAUGCAAGUCGAACGAAGUGGCGAACGGGUGAGUAACGCGUAAUCAACCUGCCCUUCAGUGGGGGACAACAGUUGGAAACGACUGCUAAUACCGCAUACUGAAGGAGGGGAUUUGGCGUGAUUAGCUCGUUGGAGGGGUAACGGCCCACCAAGGCGAGGAACAGUAGCCGGUCUGAGAGGAUGAACGGCCAAAUGGGGACUGAGACACGGCCCAGACUCCUACGGGAGUCAGCAGUGGGGAAUCUUCCGCAAUGGACGAAAGUCUGACGGAGCAACGCCGCGUGAGUGAUGACGGCCUUCGGGUUGUAAAGCGCUGUUAAUCGGGACGCGGUACCGGAAUAGAAAGCCACGGCUAACUACGUGCCAGCAGCCGCGGUAAUUC